GCAAGUCGAGCGGUAGAUUGAUUAAAGAAGCAUCGGUGGAAUUAAUUGAUUGAGAGCGGCGAACGGGUGAGUAACACGUUGGUAUCUGCCCCAAAGUCAGGUAUAGCCAUUGGAAACGAUGAUUAAUACCGGAUAGUCUCUUCGGAGUAAAAAUUUAUUGCUGGGGGAGGAACCUGCGGUCUAUCAGCUAGUUGGUGAGGUAAUAGCUCACCAAGGCUAUGACGGAUACCUGGUCUGAGAGGAUGAUC
rnacentral:rRNA from 1 species